CCCCACAUUGGAACUGAGACACGGUCCAAACUCCUACGGGAGGCAGCAGUGAGGAAUAUUGGUCAAUGGACGAGAGCCUGAACCAGCCAAGUAGCGUGAAGGAUGACUGCCCUAUGGGUUGUAAACUUCUUUUAUAAAGGAAUAAAGUCAGCUACGCAUACCCGUUUGCAUGUACUGUAUGAAUAAGGAUCGGCUAACUCCGUGCCAGCAGCCGCGGUAAUACGGAGGAUUCGAGCGUUAUCCGGAUUUAUUGGGUUUAAAGGGAGCGUAGACGGAUGUUUAAGUCAGUUGUGAAAGUUUGCGGCUCAACCGUAAAAUUGCAGUUGAUACUGGAUAUCUUGAGUGCAAUCAGAGGUAGGCGGAAUUCGUGGUGUAGCGGUGAAAUGCUUAGAUAUCACGAAGAACUCCGAUUGCGAAG
rnacentral:rRNA from 1 species